rnacentral:rRNA from 1 species
CAAGUCGAACGCGCAGCAUUCUGUAGCAAUACAGGAUGUGGGCGCGUGGCGAACGGGUGCGUAACACGUGGAUAACCUUCCUUCAGGUGGGGAAUAACCCAGCGAAAGUUGGGCUAAUACCGCAUCACAUUACGAGGGCACAUGCUCUUGUACUCAAAGCCGCAAGGCGCCAGAAGAGGGAUCCGCGGCCGAUUAGCUAGUUGGCGAGGUAAUGGCUCACCAAGGCAAUGAUCGGUAGCCGGACUGAGAGGUUGGCCGGCCACACUGGAACUGAGACACGGUCCAGACUCCUACGGGAGGCAGCAGUGGGGAAUCUUGCGCAAUGGGCGAAAGCCUGACGCAGCAACGCCGCGUGGGGGAUGAAGCUUCUCGGAGUGUAAACCCCUUUCGACCCGGAAGAAUGCCCGCAAGGGUUUGACGGUACGGGUAUAAGAAGCCCCGGCUAACUACGUGCCAGCAGCCGCGGUAAUACGUAGGGGGCCAGCGUUGCUCGGAAUUACUGGGCGUAAAGGGUCCGUAGGCGGUGUGGCAAGUCGGGAGUGAAAUCUCUGGGCUUAACUCAGAGGCUGCUUCCGAAACUGCCGUGCUAGAGUGUGAGAGAGGCGAGUGGAAUUGCGGGUGUAGCGGUGAAAUGCGUAGAUAUCCGCAGGAACAUCCGAGGCGAAAGCGGCUCGCUGGAUCACAACUGACGCUGAGGGACGAAAGCUAGGGGAGCAAACAGGAUUAGAUACCCUGGUAGUCCUAGCCCUAAACCAUCAGGACUUGGGGUUUGCCCUGUACGGGGCAAGUCCCGUAGCUAACGCGUUAAGUCCUGCGCCUGGGGAGUACGGUCGCAAGACUGAAACUCAAAGGAAUUGACGGGGGCCCGCACAAGCGGUGGAACAUGUGGUUCA